AUGAAACCGGCAGAAAAAAUGCAGACAAAGCCAUUUAAGGAAGAGACAGAGGAACCUCAGUUUGGAAAAUCUCCCCAACAGUUUGUUUAGCUUGGCCAUGAGAAGCAAGGAGGAGACAAAACGGCAAGUCAUAUAUCGGCAUCAGGCUCGUGUUUUUCGAGUUCU
rfam:Arabidopsis thaliana chromosome 1, complete sequence.